rnacentral:misc_RNA from 1 species
GAUGAAGAACGUAGCGAAAUGCGAUAAGUAAUGUGAAUUGCAGAAUUCAGUGAACCAUCGAAUCUUUGAACGCACAUUGCGCCCGGCAGUAAUCUGCCGGGCAUGCCUGUCCGAGCGUCAUUUCUGCCCUCGAGCCUGUCCAGCAUCUAGGUGCUGUUCCGGCCCGGCGUUGGGGCACUACGGGAAGCCUCGUGCUAUCCCCCGUAGGCCCCGAAAUGAAGUGGCGGUCCUGCCGCGGCUCCCCCUGCGUAGUAUUACAGCUCGCUUCGGGACCCGGUGGAGGCCUGCCGUCAAACCUUACUCUCUAAGUUUGACCUCGGAUCAGGUAGUGUUACCCGCUGAACUUAAGCAUAUCAAUAAGCGGAGGA